rnacentral:rRNA from 1 species
GUGAAGUCGUAACAAGGUAUCCGUACCGGAAGGUGCGGAUGGAUCACCUCCUUUCUAUGGAGA